GACGAACGCUGGCGGCGUGCCUAAUACAUGCAAGUCGAGCGGACAGAUGGGAGCUUGCUCCCGGAAGUCAGCGGCGGACGGGUGAGUAACACGUGGGCAACCUGCCUGUAAGACUGGGAUAACUUCGGGAAACCGGAGCUAAUACCGGAUACGUUCUUUUCUCGCAUGAGAGAAGAUGGAAAGAUGGUUUCGGCUAUCACUUACAGAUGGGCCCGCGGCGCAUUAGCUAGUUGGUGAGGUAAUGGCUCACCAAGGCGACGAUGCGUAGCCGACCUGGGGGGGUGAUCGUCCACACUGGGACUGAGACACGGCCCAGACUCCUACGGGAGGCAGCAGUAGGGAAUCUUCCGCAAUGGACGAAAGUCUGACGGAGCAACGCCGCGUGAACGAUGAAGGCCUUCGGGUCGUAAAGUUCUGUUGUUAGGGAAGAACAAGUACCAGAGUAACUGCUGGUACCUUGACGGUACCUAACCAGAAAGCCACGGCUAACUACGUGCCAGCCGCCGCCGUAAGAC
rnacentral:rRNA from 1 species